rnacentral:rRNA from 1 species
UCCUUGGGUGACGAGUGGCGGACGGGUGAGUAAUGUCUGGGAAACUGCCCGAUGGAGGGGGAUAACUACUGGAAACGGUAGCUAAUACCGCAUAACGUCGCAAGACCAAAGAGGGGGACCUUCGGGCCUCUUGCCAUCGGAUGUGCCCAGAUGGGAUUAGCUAGUAGGUGGGGUAACGGCUCACCUAGGCGACGAUCCCUAGCUGGUCUGAGAGGAUGACCAGCCACACUGGAACUGAGACACGGUCCAGACUCCUACGGGAGGCAGCAGUGGGGAAUAUUGCACAAUGGGCGCAAGCCUGAUGCAGCCAUGCCGCGUGUAUGAAGAAGGCCUUCGGGUUGUAAAGUACUUUCAGCGAGGAGGAAGGCGUUGUGGUUAAUAACCGCAACGAUUGACGUUACUCGCAGAAGAAGCACCGGCUAACUCCGUGCCAGCAGCCGCGGUAAUACGGAGGGUGCAAGCGUUAAUCGGAAUUACUGGGCGUAAAGCGCACGCAGGCGGUCUGUCAAGUCGGAUGUGAAAUCCCCGGGCUCAACCUGGGAACUGCAUCCGAAACUGGCAGGCUAGAGUCUUGUAGAGGGGGGUAGAAUUCCAGGUGUAGCGGUGAAAUGCGUAGAGAUCUGGAGGAAUACCGGUGGCGAAGGCGGCCCCCUGGACAAAGACUGACGCUCAGGUGCGAAAGCGUGGGGAGCAAACAGGAUUA